rnacentral:lncRNA from 1 species
UCAGGACUCUAUCGAUACAGGGUGGGUGAUGUGCUUCGGGUUGCUGGAUACAAGAACAAUGUGCCUCAAUUUAACUUUUCAUGCCGGGAAAAUGUAAUCUUGAGCAUCGAUUCUGACAAGACUGAUGAAUUUGAACUACAAAAUGCAGCAAACAAUCUGAUGCCAUUUGAUGCACGUGUAACCGAAUACACCAGCUAUGCAGAUAUUGCCACCAUUCAGGCCAUUAUGUCUUGUUUUGGGAGUUGAGCGUCAACCUGUCUUCCCC